AAAUAGCAUCUAGGUUUCCAAUGCUUGUACAUUAAUGGAUUCAUUUACUGUGGAUGUUAUUAUGUCAAUGAUAUGACCCUAAGUCCAGAAUACGAACCAUAAUUCACGUAAAAUAAAAUUACAAAUAAUUAGUCGAUUAUUAUAUCUUAUAAAUUACGCAUUAAACUUUUAAACGAUGGAGAUGGUACACGUUAUACUGAAUUAGGUACAGGUACUCCUGGAAAAUAUUGGGGACAUGGAAAUAAUCUUUCACCCCUUCUGCAUUUUUCCUCAAUUGCUGCUUGAGGAAGAUUCCAAGACUCUUCAUCGAACUGUAAAAAGUCGUACACACAUUCUUGGUGACAAUAGUCUUUUUUUUGUUCUUCAAGUGUCAUACUACCUUUUACCAAUACCUUAGGAAAUAAUAAUGAGAUAAAGAUGCAUAUUUGCAACACCACCAUAAUUUGCUUACGAGAUGACAUCUUUUAUGAAUCUUGUCCCUGCAAAAAUUUAAUUGUUUUAAACAUUAAACAAGAGAAAACACUAGGUACAUAAAUAGCAAUUAGCUAGAAUUAGCUACGAACUUUAUCAUUAAUUUAUUGCUAAAUCGCUCGUAACUAACAAAAUUUCUUGAUAAUCAGUUGCUAAUCUGUUUCUACAUAAGAUUAGUUACAGAUUUUUCUGUUUAGCUACAUAAUUUGUCUGUCGCUUAUUCCUUUUUUUCUUUUUUUUUUUCUUUUUUUUUUUUUUUUGUUUAGUGAUUGAGAACAACAAUUUUGGGUGAUAAACAUAAUAGGCAAAUGUUAACUAAUUAGACUAUACAUUUUUGUUUUUUAAAUAAUCUAAUAGUAUGAAAUUAAAGAAAACUAUUCAUUUACUGGUUGUCUUAUAAGGAUAAAUAGAAAUAUGGACCAUGAAAAUGAAUCACAAGGAAAUAAACAGAAAUAGAAAUGGCAACGGAUAAGUGACACGAAUAGAGAAUUCAGUAAUCAGAGUUGGGUUUUCUUACACCAAUUUGGAAGUCAAACUAUUUUCCUGCGCAAAAGAUUUGUUCUUGAGUGGUAAAGCUUAACUAAGUGACACGAAUAGAUAAUUCAGUAAAUAUAGUUAGUUGACAUUGUAACGCAUGGUUAAAGUCCAUUUACUAUUUUGG
rnacentral:lncRNA from 1 species